rnacentral:tRNA from 1 species
AAGGUAAGUGUAUACAUAUAAGAUUUUCAAUUUUAAGUUAAAUAAUUUUAUUGUCUUC